rnacentral:rRNA from 1 species
GGGAAUCUACCGUGCCCUGCGGAAUAGCUCCGGGAAACUGGAAUUAAUACCGCAUACGCCCUACGGGGGAAAGAUUUAUCGGGGUAUGAUGAGCCCGCGUUGGAUUAGCUAGUUGGUGGGGUAAAGGCCUACCAAGGCGACGAUCCAUAGCUGGUCUGAGAGGAUGAUCAGCCACAUUGGGACUGAGACACGGCCCAAACUCCUACGGGAGGCAGCAGUGGGGAAUAUUGGACAAUGGGCGCAAGCCUGAUCCAGCCAUGCCGCGUGAGUGAUGAAGGCCUUAGGGUUGUAAAGCUCUUUCACCGGAGAAGAUAAUGACGGUAUCCGGAGAAGAAGCCCUGGCUAACUUCGUGCCAGCAGCCGCGGUAAUACGAAGGGGGCUAGCGUUGUUCGGAAUUACUGGGCGUAAAGCGCACGUAGGCGGAUAUUUAAGUCAGGGGUGAAAUCCCAGAGCUCAACUCUGGAACUGCCUUUGAUACUGGGUAUCUUGAGUAUGGAAGAGGUAAGUGGAAUUGCGAGU